rnacentral:tRNA from 1 species
GCCCUGAUAGUUAAAUGGUAUAACAGAUCCAUGGUAAGGAUCAGUCUCCAGUUCAAUUCUGGGUCGGGGCACCA